GGGGGUCCAGCUCCACUAGCGUGCAGCUGGCGAAAGAACCGAUGAGCGUUGGGGUAGGCAAGUCUAAGAGAAAUCUAUUCAACACAUUGAGAUUAUUGUUGUUCCUUCUUAUCCACCCUUCUACAUAAGAGCUCCUCUCCACCUCGCCUAACUCACCCACAAAGAGCAGCUGAGCCCCGGAAGUGUCAUAAAAG